rnacentral:rRNA from 1 species
UACGGAGGGGGCUAGCGUUGUUCGGAAUUACUGGGCGUAAAGCGCACGUAGGCGGCUUUGUAAGUUAGAGGUGAAAGCCCGGGGCUCAACUCCGGAAUUGCCUUUAAGACUGCAUCGCUAGAACGUCGGAGAGGUGAGUGGAAUUCCGAGUGUAGAGGUGAAAUUCGUAGAUAUUCGGAAGAACACCAGUGGCGAAGGCGACUCACUGGACGACUGUUGACGCUGAGGUACGAAAGCGUGGGGAGCAAACAGG